CCUUCACUGAUGAGUAACCUGGUGACUUUCGUUCUUCUGAGUUUGCUGAAGCCACUUCCAAUCUUCUGAGAAGG